UGCCCUUAAGUCUGGGAUACCAUUUGGAAACAGAUGCUAAUACCGGAUAAAAGCUACUUUCGCAUGAAAGAGUUUAAAAGGCGGCGUAAGCUGUCGCUAAAGGAUGGACCUGCGAUGCAUUAGCUAGUUGGUAAGGUAACGGCUUACCAAGGCGAUGAUGCAUAGCCCGAGUUGAGAGACUGAUCGGCCACAUUGGGACUGAGACACGGCCCAAACUCCUACGGGAGGCAGCAGUAGGGAAUCUUCCACAAUGGACGAAAGUCUGAUGGAGCAACGCCGCGUGAGUGAAGAAGGGUUUCGGCUCGUAAAGCUCUGUUGUUGGUGAAGAAGGACAGGGGGUAGUAACUGACCUUUGUUUGACGGUAAUCAAUUAGAAAGUCACGGCUAACUACGUGCCAGCAGCCGCGGUAAU
rnacentral:rRNA from 1 species